rnacentral:lncRNA from 1 species
CUCCAAGGUAAUAACUAUAAUAUAACUCCAAAAUGUCUUAUUUAUCAUGUCUUAAUGAUGCUACAACCCGAUACACAAAAUUGAGAAUGAAAAUGGGGAAUGUGUCAAAGAGACAAUAAUCUCACCGUAGAAAAAAACAGCAGAAGGUUAGAAACAGGUCUUCAACGUAGAGACAAAUUCCCGCACCAGGAGGCGUCCUUCAUCUGGCUAGUUCAGUGAUAAUGAACGCCAUACUAAUUUCCAAAUUGUACACAAGAAAUUGAAAUUAAAAUAAUACAAGACUAACAAAGGCCAGAGGCUCCUGACUUGGGACAGGCGCAAAAAUGCGGCGGGGUUAAACAUGUUUGUGAGAUCUUAACCCUCCCCCUACACCUCAAGCCAAUGUAGAAAAGUAAACCCAUAAAAAUAUGCACAUUAAAAUUCAGUUCAAGAGAAGUCCGAGUCUGAUGUCAGAAGAUGUAACCAAAGAAAAUAAACAAAAUGACAAUAAUACAUAAAUAACAACAGACUACUAGCAGUUAAUUAACAUGCAAGCUCCAGACUUCAAUUACACUGACUGAAAGAUUACGAUUUCAUCAUAUGAACAUCAGGCACAAUCCUUUCCGUUAGGGGUUGAGUAUCAUACUAUAAUAACAUAUAUGAGAAGAAUAUAACCCGUGUCAUGCCAACAACUGGUUUUUGAAUAAAUGUGUUUAGUUCCGAUGCAAAGACCCUAUAAGUGAAUCAUUAUUAAUUCCAAAAUAUGCAAUUUUUAAUGACCUGAUAACAGUAUCGUAACUAUAUCCCUUCUUAAUAAAUC